GUAACGCGUGGGUAACCUGCCUUAUACAGGGGGAGUAACAGUCAGAAAUGGCUGCUAAUACCGCAUAAGCGCACAGAGCUGCAUGGCUCAGUGUGAAAAACUACCGGUGGUAUAAGAUGGACCCGCGUUGGAUUAGCUGGUUGGUGGGGUAACGGCCCACCAAGGCGACGAUCCAUAGCCGGCCCUGAGAGGGUGAACGGCCACAUUGGGACUGAGACACGGCCCAGACUCCUACGGGAGGCAGCAUG
rnacentral:rRNA from 1 species